GAGGCGUGCGAGGNCUGUCGCUGACUUUUUGACACAAAAAGUCGUGCACGCCGGAGUGCGUCCUCUCACAUAAAAUCCAUCUCACCCUUUUGUGCACCACCGCGUGGGCACCCUUUGGGAUCGAAUCGAUCCAGGAGGGGGCUUGCGUUUUCACACAAACCCCUUUUAAAAAGUGUAGAAUGACCCCACUUUGCGAUGACACGCAAUCAAUACAACUUUCAACAACGGAUCUCUUGGCUCUCGCAUCGAUGAAGAACGCAGCGAAAUGCGAUACGUAAUGUGAAUUGCAGAAUUCAGUGAAUCAUCGAAUCUUUGAACGCACCUUGCGCCCCUUGGUAUUCCGAGGGGCACACCCGUUUGAGUGUCGUGAAAAUCUCAACCUUCUCGGUUUUCUUCUGGACACCGAAGGAGGCUUGGACUUUGGAGGCCUUUGCUGGCAUCUCUCUCUUCUUGAGAGCCAGCUCCUCUUAAACGAAUUAGCGGGGUCCUCUUUGCCGAUCCUCGACAUGUGAUAAGAUGUUUCCAUGACUUGGUUUCUGGCUCUGUUGCCUUUGGGACCCGCUUCUAACCGUCUCGACGAGACAACGUUUGGGCGCGUCUCCCUUCUCGGGAGACUCUCUCAACCCCACGAACCCUNGAC
rnacentral:rRNA from 1 species